UGGCAAUGAGAAGCCCUACUGCCUCCCUGAAAGGAGGAAAGUAAGGGGGUGAGCUAAAAAUCCAGUAAUGUAGUGCACCAAAUUUUUUUUUUUUAGAUUAUUUAAAUUUUGUGUUUUAUUUUAUUUAAAUGUUAAGUGUGAUGAAUUUUUUUAUUUAAAUGUUGUUUAUUUUAUUUAGUUGUUGUUUGUUUUAUUUGAUUGUUUAUUAUUUUAUUUAAUUGUUAGAAUUGUUUGGUAUAAUCUUUUGAAUUUAAAUUUGUUAAUUGUUUGUUUGGCUAAUUAAUUUAAUAAGUGAAUAAUUGUGUAACAUGUUUAUUUUACUAUUAGUGUUACAUUUUAAAUAAGUGUGACAAUUGAGGUAAUUAUGUGAGUUAUGGUUGAAUGCACUAAGGUGCAUGGUAGAUAGUGAUGCACCCUAGUGUUUUAGUGUGUGCUAGUAUAUGGUAAUAGGGUGCACAUGUGUAGAUUUUCUACACACUCUUUCCUUUAUUGGAUUUAUUUUAGUUAAUAAAAAAAAGAAAAGAAAAAAAUAAAAAGAAAAGGGAAAGGAAGGUGCUUGGACGUGUAGUGUGUAGUGUGUAGUGGGAAAGGGAUUGAUUUUUCUAUUUAUUUUUCUAAGGCAAUAAAAUCAAAUAUUGGAAGAAACUAUCUAUUUUAGGAUAGGAUGUGAUCACCCUUUAUUCCUUAUAUAUAUUAUCAUAAAAGAAAAUAAUAAGAAAAUAAAAUAGAAAUAGGAAACUUACCAUUUUGCGUUGGUGAGGCUUUAUUGAGAGAGUUGAAUAAAGGGGAAAGGAAAGGAAGAGAGGAGCAUUUCUUGUGGCUGCCGUGACCUAGAGAGAGAGAGAGAGAGAGAGAGUGAGAGAGUGUCGUGUAGAGAGAGAGGGAGAAGAAGAAAGAAAGGAAGAAAGAAGAAGAAGGUGAAGAGGAACCAAGUCUAGAGCUUGAACAAGGGGUGUGAAGUUUGGGUGUUGAUCAUAUUGUGUUCUUGAUUUUACAAUCAAGAGAGGCUCGUUGAAAGAUUGUGAAAAUUUCUUAGCUUGGACCUGAGGUAGCAAAUAGGAUUUCUUUAUGGCACGCGUGGUGACGUGAGGAGUUCUAUCAUCAUGGGGUGUAUGGCGUGGGGUAAUCCUAUGGACGGAAAAACGAUCAUCGUAGAACGCCAUUUAAAUUAUGUUUUGUUUUUAAGAGACUUUCCUAAAUUAUCAGUGGGACUCAGUUAUUUAAUUUUUGUUUCUUUGAACUUUGCAUAAAAAUCUAUGUUUUCUUUUAAAACUUAUGGCGCCAACUUGCAUGGUUUUAAGCAAGUCCCCACUGAGACUUUGAUAAUGAGUGGUAUUCUUUUAUAAACUAUGUUAUGCGAAUGUUUUGUAAGUAUUAGU